rnacentral:lncRNA from 1 species
GAUCAGAGAAGAGACGAAGGCAUGGAAUACAAAAUGAAACAGCAGAGAGUGCUAGAAUUCAGAGUUGGAAGAAGCCAUCAGCCUGGAAGAAAAUCUGGCCCAAGACAGAGAAAGGUAUUUCAAUGGAACGGUAUCUCAAACAUAGUAAGAGGAAUUUAAACCAAAGGCCUAUCCAAACAAAAAUGUGUUCCCUUAGUCACUAAGCCAUACUAACGGCACAAUAAUUAUCAAGGUAGUUGACUUAGCAA